rfam:Anolis carolinensis chromosome 2, whole genome shotgun sequence.
CCAAAGGUCUUUAUCAAGACCAUUGCUAUCAAUUAGGGAUAUUAAU